rnacentral:rRNA from 1 species
GAUGAACGCUGGCGGCGUGCUUAACACAUGCAAGUCGAACGGUGAAGGCGGAGCUUGCUCUGCUGGAUCAGUGGCGAACGGGUGAGUAACACGUGAGCAAUCUGCCCCUGACUCUGGGAUAAGCGCUGGAAACGGCGUCUAAUACUGGAUACGAGCUGCGAAGGCAUCUUCAGCAGCUGGAAAGAAUUUCGGUCAGGGAUGAGCUCGCGGCCUAUCAGCUUGUUGGUGAGGUAAUGGCUCACCAAGGCGUCGACGGGUAGCCGGCCUGAGAGGGUGACCGGCCAAACGGGGACGGAGACACGGCCCAGACUCCUCCGGGGGGCAGCGGGGGGGAAUAUUGCACAAGGGGCGAAAGCCUGAUGCAGCAACGCCGCGGGGGGGACGACGGCCUUGGGGUUGUAAACCUCUUUUAGCGGGGAAGAAGCGAAAGGGACGGUACCUGCAGAAAAAGCGCCGGCUAACUACGU